rnacentral:rRNA from 1 species
UACGGAGGGGGCUAGCGUUAUUCGGAAUCACUGGGCGUAAAGCGCGUGUAGGCGGUCUAUAAAGUCAGAGGUGAAAUCCCGGAGCUUAACUUCGGAAUUGCCUUUGAAACUCAUAGACUAGAAUCUGGUAGAGGAUAGUGGAAUUCUUAGUGUAGAGGUGAAAUGCUUAGAUAUGACAUAGAACACCAAUUGCGAAGGCAGCUGGCUACACGAAUAUUGACACUGAGGCACGAAAGCGUGGGGAUCAAACAGG